UAGCUCAGUUAGUAGAGAGCUUGCCUUUCAAGCAUGAGGACCUGAGUUCAAACCCCAG
rnacentral:tRNA from 1 species